UACGUAGGGCGCAAGCGUUAUCCGGAAUUAUUGGGCGUAAAGAGCUCGUAGGCGGUUUGUCGCGUCUGCCGUGAAAGUCCGGGGCUCAACUCCGGAUCUGCGGUGGGUACGGGCAGACUUGAGGUAUUCAGGGGAGAACGGAAUUCCUGGUGUAGCGGUGGAAUGCGCAGAUAUCAGGAGGAACACCGAUGGCGAAGGCAGGUCUCUGGGCCACUACUGACGCUGAGAAGCGAAAGCAUGGGGAGCGAACAGG
rnacentral:rRNA from 1 species